CCUAGGGUCGCAGCAGUGGGGAAUAUUGGACAAUGGGCGAAAGCCUGAUCCAGCCAUGCCGCGUGUGUGAAGAAGGCCUUCGGGUUGUAAAGCACUUUCAGUGGGGAAGAAAGCCUUGGGGCUAAUACCCUCGAGGAAGGACAUCACCCACAGAAGAAGCACCGGCUAACUCCGUGCCAGCAGCCGCGGUAAUACGGAGGGUGCGAGCGUUAAUCGGAAUUACUGGGCGUAAAGCGCGCGUAGGCGGUCUGAUAAGCCGGUUGUGAAAGCCCCGGGCUCAACCUGGGAACGGCAUCCGGAACUGUCAGGCUAGAGUGCAGGAGAGGAAGGUAGAAUUCCCGGUGUAGCGGUGAAAUGCGUAGAGAUCGGGAGGAAUACCAGUGGCGAAGGCGGCCUUCUGGACUGACACUGACGCUGAGGUGCGAAAGCGUGGGUAGCAAACAGGAUUAGAUACCCCUGUAGUC
rnacentral:rRNA from 1 species